AGAAUCAACGCUGGCGGCGUGCCUAACACAUGCAAGUCGAGCGGAAAGGCCCUUCGGGGUACUCGAGCGGCGAACGGGUGAGUAACACGUGAGUAACCUGCCCCUAGCUCUGGGAUAGCUCCGGGAAACCGGGAUUAAUACCAGAUACGACCACUUUAGACAUCUGUCGUGGUGGAAAGGAUUCCGGCUAGGGAUGGGCUCGCGGCCUAUCAGCUAGUUGGUGAGGUAACGGCUCGCCAAGGCUUCGACGGGUAGC
rnacentral:rRNA from 1 species